rnacentral:rRNA from 1 species
CAGAUUGCAGGCUGCAACCCGCCCGCAUGAAGUCGGAAUUGCUAGUAAUCGCGGAUCAGCAUGCCGCGGUGAAUACGUUCCCGGGCCUUGUACACACCGCCCGUCACACCAUGGGAGCCGGUAAUACCCGAAGUCAGUAGUCCAACCUCGUGAGGACGCUGCCGAAGGUAGGAUUGGCGACUGGGGUGAAGUCGUAACAAGGUAUC